rnacentral:tRNA from 1 species
GGUCGCAUGGCCCAAUGGCAAGGCGCUUGACUACGAAACCUUCUCGUGAGGUGGGGAAUCAAGAGAUUCCAGGUUCGACCCCUGGUGCGAUCA